AUUGAACGCUGGCGGCAUGCCUUACACAUGCAAGUCGAACGGCAGCACGGGAGCAAUCCUGGUGGCGAGCGGCGGACGGGUGAGUAAUGCCUAGGAAUCUGCCUAGUGGUGGGGGAUAACGUUCGGAAACGGACGCUAAUACCGCAUACGUCCUACGGGAGAAAGCGGGGGAUCUUCGGACCUCGCGCCAUUAGAUGAGCCUAGGUCGGAUUAGCUAGUUGGUGAGGUAAUGGCUCACCAAGGCGACGAUCCGUAACUGGUCUGAGAGGAUGAUCAGUCACACUGGAACUGAGACACGGUCCAGACUCCUACGGGAGGCAGCAGUGGGGAAUAUUGGACAAUGGGCGAAAGCCUGAUCCAGCCAUGCCGCGUGUGUGAAGAAGGUCUUCGGAUUGUAAAGCACUUUAAGUUGGGAGGAAGGGUAGUAACCUAAUACGUUGCUACUUUGACGUUACCGACAGAAUAAGCACCGGCUAACUUCGUGCCAGCAGCCGACGG
rnacentral:rRNA from 1 species